rnacentral:rRNA from 1 species
UUGGAGGGCAAGUCUGGUGCCAGCAGCCGCGGUAAUUCCAGCUCCAAUAGCGUAUAUUAAAGUUGUUGCAGUUAAAAAGCUCGUAGUUGAAUUUCGGGAUCAGACUGUCGGUCGUGCCUCGGUACGCACUGGCAUUAUUGGUUCCUACCUUCUGAAGAACCGCGACGUCAUUAAUUUGGUGUCGUGGGGAAUCAGGACUGUUACUUUGAAAAAAUUAGAGUGUUUAAAGCAGGCAUUUUUGCUCGAAUACAUUAGCAUGGAAUAAUAGAAUAGGACGGCAUGGUUCUAUUUUGUUGGUUUCUAGGAUCACCGUAAUGACUAAUAGGGAUAGCUGGGGGCAUUAGUAUUCAAUUGUCAGAGGUGAAAUUCUUGGAUUUAUUGAAGACUAACUACUGCGAAAGCAUUUGCCAAGGAUGUUUUCAUUAAUCAAGAACGAAAGUUAGGGGAUCGAAGACGAUCAGAUACCGUCGUAGUCUUAACCAUAAACUAUGCCGACUAGGAAUCAGACGAUGUUAAUUUUUUAAUGACUCGUUCGGCGCCUUACGGGAAAC